CGCUUCUAGCUACGCGUUGGGGGCUGUAUGUCUCAGAAAGAUUCCUCAGGGACCUUGCGUCCCUGUGGAUUUUACUCGCGGCAACUAACACCCUUCGAGCAGAACUAUACCAUAUGGGAGAAGGAGUUGUUGGCGAUUAAGGUGGCGUUUGAGGUGUGGCGGCACUGGCUUGAAGGGGCACGGCACCAGAUCGUGGUCAGAUCUGAUCACAAGAAUUUAGAGCACUUGCAAACAGCAAAGAAGUUAAACCAGCGUCAAAUCCGAUGGGCUUUGUUUUUCUCCAGGUUUAACUUCAAGGUGCAGUUCGUAGAGGGGAAGGCAAACUUGCGGGCCGAUGCUUUAUCCCGCAAGCCGGAGUUUAAGACCAAUGAGCAGGUUGUAUGUCAGACCAUCUUGCCUACUGCCUCUCUGUGUGUUGUAGAUAAUGAGCUCGGGUUACAUGACCAGAUCCUUGAGGCUCAGAGGGAUGAUGUGUGGACACAGGAGCAACUGAUGCUGCUCUCAGCAGCUUGACCUUCCGUCGUCUUCUUGACGGACGCCAUCUCCUGCUUUGAAAUUCGGACUGAACUUACCACGGCUUGACUUCCCCCUUCUUGGACUUGGAAACUACAAACGUCUGCUUCUGGCUUUGAUCUACGGAAAGGAACUGGGUCUACUCUACUGCUACAAUCCUUGGCUGAUCUGUUCGUGUUGGAAAUCCUGUCUGCUGUGUGUGUGGGAGCGACGCAAGUUACUCUAAGCACAGUGUUGGCAGCAGAGAGGAAUCUGCUGCCAAUUAGUUGCAUUCUUUUGUAUCUUUUGUUCCUCGGCUUUUGUUUUGUUUAUCCCCAGGCUGAAGCAAGCAGUUUGUUUUU
rnacentral:lncRNA from 11 species